CCCCGGAACCGAGGAAACUGAGGACGGAGAGCGUCGAGAAGUAUUGAUCGCUCCGCCUGAUGAUGCAAGACGGCAUGUCCAACGGGACGAGGCCAAAGGUCGGGCAUGGCUCCCCUGGCGGUCUCAUGGCUGUGAGCAUGGCUCGAGAUCCCAUAGGAUAGCUCCGGACGGAUCGGUGCGGGAGAGAGUCGACUUAGCACUCGAAGGUAAAUACCAUGUCAGGAGACUCGAUGGUGCCUAGCGCGCAGAGAAUCCAGGCCGGGCAGCGACCCGAGGACACCCCCCAGACGAGAGCAUCUAAUCGUGGCCAGCACAAGACGCCACAGUAUAGGAUAGAAGAACAAGAGCGUGAAGUUCUUAACGAAGUGGUAAACGCACUGGGGGGC
rnacentral:rRNA from 1 species